UCAUUAAUUCUCUACAAUUAAGCCCUAAGUAAAACGACCCUUUCACUAGCAAUAAAAACUCAUUGUGCUCAAACCAUCAGCUCAAAAUGUUUAAACCUAAUUAUUAUUACUAGUUUUCAUGAUCUCUUAUAAACCCAAUAACAAUCUCAUUUUCAUUCGAUAUAGGACUAUUGGGGUGUCACAGACUUCCCCUGCUCUAGUCCUAACGUCGUCGUCAGUCCAAUAACACACAGUCCAAAAUCACCAAACGUUGUAAGAUUUAUCUCGCUAGCCUUGUCAUUCCGGCCCUAAUUUAAUCUUUCCCUUGUUAUUUCGACCCUGACUUAACCUAUCACUCCGACCUUGACUCAGUUAAGACUCAUUUUACGCUUCUAGCUAAUGAUUGGCUCUGAUAUCAAGCUUACAAAACGGAUCUCGAGACA
rnacentral:lncRNA from 1 species